rnacentral:rRNA from 1 species
CGCUGGUCGGAAAAUCGGAGCAGGGUUUCCCCGGACGGGGGCCGUCCGACCGCGCAGCUACCGUUUCGCCAGACGCAUUUGUCUCCCGUCCUAAGGACGCCGCAGCCGGUCGGGCAGCGAAAGCGCGACGGCCUGAGGGGCGGACGACGGCAGGUGGCCGGUGGCAGGCUUCGUGCCGGUCGCCGGUUGUUAGCCGGUUCCGCCAGUGGCCCGUCGCUCGACCGAGGUAUCACCAGGCCCCAUUCCACGGGGUUUUCUUCGCCUCCUCCGCAAGGAAGCCGGGACGUACCGUCGCAAGCGAAGACAUCCGCCACUCGCACUCCGACGGAGUGGACGAGCGGAACUGUCGGCGCCGUUGGCGACGGAGGGCCCGUCGGAGGCCGGAGGCUGGCGGCGAGUAGGUCGGUCACCCACCCGACCCGUCUUGAAACACGGACCAAGGAGUCUAACAUGUGCGCGAGUCAAUGGGUCUUGAACAGGCCCAGAGGCGCAAUGAAAGCGAAGGUCGGCCCCGCGCCGACCGAGUUGGGAUCCCCCGCCCCUCGCAGGGCGGCGGGCGCACCAACGACCCGUCCUAUCCGGCUCGCCGGUUGGGCGGAGUGUGAGCGCAAACGUUGGGACCCGAAAGAUGGUGAACUAUGCCCGGACAGGACGAGGCCAGAG